UACGUAGGGGGCUAGCGUUGUCCGGAAUUACUGGGCGUAAAGCGCGCGUAGGCGGCUUUGUAAGUUAGAGGUGAAAGCCCGGGGCUCAACCCCGGAACUGCCUUUAAGACUGCAUCGCUGGAAUCCGGGAGAGGUGAGUGGAAUUCCGAGUGUAGAGGUGAAAUUCGUAGAUAUUCGGAAGAACACCAGUGGCGAAGGCGGCUCACUGGACCGGUAUUGACGCUGAUGUGCGAAAGCGUGGGGAGCAAACAGG
rnacentral:rRNA from 1 species